rnacentral:rRNA from 1 species
UACAGAGGGUGCAAGCGUUAAUCGGAAUUACUGGGCGUAAAGCGCGCGUAGGUGGUUUGUUAAGUUGGAUGUGAAAUCCCCGGGCUCAACCUGGGAACUGCAUUCAAAACUGACAAGCUAGAGUAUGGUAGAGGGUGGUGGAAUUUCCUGUGUAGCGGUGAAAUGCGUAGAUAUAGGAAGGAACACCAGUGGCGAAGGCGACCACCUGGACUGAUACUGACACUGAGGUGCGAAAGCGUGGGGAGCAAACAGGAUAGAAACCC